GCUCCGGGGUAGGUGGGUGACGGCGGUCGGAGGUGUAGGAGGGAGCCGUGGAGGUCCAGGUGACUGCUUAGAAAACUGCACAGCAUCUGAUGAAAUUAGCGAAUAAGAACAUCAACCAUGUCUUACACUCCAGGAGUUGGUGGUGACCCCGCCCAGUUGGCCCAGAGGAUCUCUUCUAACAUCCAGAAGAUCACACAGUGUUCUGUGGAAAUACAAAGAACUCUGAAUCAACUUGGAACACCUCAAGAUUCACCUGAAUUGAGGCAACAGUUGCAACAGAAGCAGCAGUAUACUAACCAGCUUGCCAAAGAAACAGAUAAGUACAUUAAAGAGUUUGGAUCUCUGCCCACCACCCCCAGUGAACAGGUAUCAAGCUUUAAGACACAUUGUUGAUGUAUUGAAUGUGAAAAAAACCCAGUGCACUGUAGGAUCUUUGAACUGUUACGCUAGAAAGGAAAUUAUGCUAGAAAGGAAAUCAAAAAUAAUUCUGUUUGAGAUUAGUUCACAGAACACAAAACUAUAUUUAAUUGCUCAGGUAGUAUCCUGUGGUUCAAUAAAGCAAAAAUUAUUUCCAUGCAUUUGCCCUGACCCAUAAUUAAGUUAGUUCUCAGAAAAUGCUUCCUGAGUAAUUAUUUCCUGGCCUUCCGGGGCUGACUGCGUGGAACAUGCAGGCUCAUUCAAGAUGUGAGGUGUCCUGGGGGCACAUAUUUAUUUCCCUGCUUAUUUAAUGGAAGUUAUUACUUAGCUAAAAGUAUAAGGCUUUAUUUGCCUGAAAAAGAAUUACUUUAAAAUAGCCUCAAAAUAAUAAGCUAGUUUUUAGCAGCGUGAAAACCUGAGGUGAGAAAUCCAGCAUAAUGGGUCUUUUGCCUCAAGUUAAAUAUGCACAGUAUUUGACAUACUAUCAGAAUGUUACUGAGAGUUAAUCUGUAAGGCCCUGUAAUUGGGGAGUAAGUGAAAACUUCAGGGUUAAAUAAAGAGCCAACUACCGCAAAUUCAGUUGAACUUCACAGCUAGAUUCUAGUUGGCUUUUUCUUCUCUUUCCUCUAGCGUCAAAGGAAAAUACAGAAGGAUCGCUUAGUGGCAGAGUUCACAACAUCACUGACAAACUUCCAGAAGGUCCAGAGGCAGGCUGCUGAGCGAGAGAAAGAGUUUGUUGCUCGAGUAAGAGCCAGUUCCAGAGUGUCUGGCAGUUUUCCUGAGGACAGCUCAAAAGAAAGGAAUCUUGUAUCCUGGGAAAGCCAAACUCAACCUCAAGUGCAGGUGCAGGAUGAAGAAAUUACAGAGGAUGACCU
rnacentral:lncRNA from 1 species